GGCCUGCCCAGUGAUUGGUCAAAUUUUGAGUUUGCUUAGGUAAUAAAAAAUUUUGUUAAACGGCUGCAAUUAAUAAUUGUGCUAAGGUAGCGUAAUCAUUUGCCCCUUAAUUAGGGGAAGGUAUGAAUGGUUUGACGUGGGAGAAUCUGUCUCUUUUACAUAAAAAGAAGUUUAUUUCUUAGUGAAAAAGCUUAGAUGUUUAUAAAAGACGAGAAGACCCUAUCGAACUUAAAUUAGGUGUUUUAGUUUUAGAAUUCUUAAAAUUUAGUUGGGGAAACUUAAAGUAAAUAAGAACGCUUUAUUUUUGCUUGUUAAAUGAUCCUGUAUUAUGGAGAAGAUGAAAAAGUUACCGUAGGGAUAACAGCGCUUUCUUCUCUGAGAGGACUAAUUAAAGAGUUGGUUGCGACCUCGAUGUUGGAUUAAAAUUUCUUUUUGGGGUAGGGGUUAAAAUAGUAAGACUGUUCGUCUUUUAAAAUUUU
rnacentral:rRNA from 1 species